rnacentral:rRNA from 1 species
UGCAUAUCAAUAAGCGGAGGAAAAGAAACUAACAAGGAUUCCCCUAGUAACGGCGAGUGAAGAGGGAAAAGCCCAAGUUUGAAAGCUGGCACCUUCGGUGUCCGCAUUGUAAACUCGAGAAGCGUUAUCCGCGCCGGACCAGGCCUUAAGUCCAUUGGAAUAUGGCACCAUAGAGGGUGAUAGUCCCUUUCAUGGUCUGGAACCCCCGGAGCUUUGUGAUGCGCUCUCCAAGAGUCGAGUUGUUUGGGAAUGCAGCUCAAAAUGGGUGGUAAAUGCCAUCUAAGGCUAAAUAUAGAGGAGAGACCGAUAGCGAACAAGUACCGUGAGGGAAAGAUGAAAAGAACUUUGGAAAGAGAGUUAAACAGUACGUGAAAUUGCCGGAAGGGAAGGACAGGGAGUCAGUUAUGGACUUUGCGGAUUCAGCUUGACCUUUCGAGGUUGGGUUUAUUUCUGCUUGGACCAGGCCAGCAUCGAUUUUGGCUGUCGGAGAUGAGUAGGGGGAACGUAGCAUUUUCUUCGGAACAAUGUGUUUAUAGACCUUUACUUGGUACGACGGCUGGGAUCGAGGAACGCAGUGCACCCUUCGGGGCGGGCCUUCGGGCACCUUUGCACAUAGGAUGUUGGCUUAAUGGCUCUCUGCCACCCGUCUUGAAACAC